AGAUGUCUAUGAUACAAUACACAGCUUGUCCUUCAGCCCUGAACGUCACCUGCAUGAAUAACUCAUUAACUCAAAACAGACACCACGUUCCAGUGGGUGAUUGAGGAAACUUGAAUGAAGAGGCUUCUUACAAAUGGGUCAGCAGGGUUUCUGGAAACCAAGAAGAAAUACUUGAACUCAAAACCCAGCAAGAACGGGAAGUCAUAGCCCCUGCCGGGCCUGGAGGGUACGGAGAGGGAAGGCUGACCCCAGCCCAGGGGCAGAAGAGUCGGAGGAGAGGGUCUCAUGACAGCGGCUGUGGUCUCGGGAGAGAAACUCACUCAGCUGAUAGCGACCCACGCAGAGGAAUCUGGGGACACCUCCUGAGAGGAGCACCGAAAUCUCCAAUUGCAACCAGUUCCCCCUCCUGUGUUAUAUGACCUGCAAAGCGCUCCAGGCUGUUUCAGGAUAGUCUGACUUUUUUCUUUUCUUUCAUAAUUCUGUGCUGUCAGUGUGCUGUGUCUAAAAAUGAUCAUUUCAUAUGUAUUUGUCCAGUCUUUUAGUUAUUUUUAGGAGAAGAUUACUUAGGGACCUGUUGUUCAUCAUGGCUGGACGUACUGGGGAAUCUAAUUGCUCACUUGGCUUUCUCAGGCACAGACAAUGGAGCUGACAAGCUGUCACACUGACCUGUCUCUUUGAUGGGAAGACAGUGGCUUAAACUCUGAACAUCCCCCUCGUCACAGGAGCCCGUAUUUACAUGUGACAUCACCUUCUUAAACCUUGUCAAAGCGCCUUGCUCUGAUCUCCUGACCUCCGGUGCAAACGUCUUUCCUCCAAUCACAGUCAGCUGGUCAGCCUUCACCAGGCAUCCCCCACCUCCUAUUCAGCUUUCCCCGCUUUCUGCUGGUUCUCUGUUCUUUGUGAUCAAUAGGCUAUUUUUACAAGCUCUUACCUUCAGAACUGCCCGUUAACAUGAUCCCAGGCUCGGUUGCUUUGCUACAUAAACUUUCUCUGCUUAAUACCAGGGUCACUAGGCAUUUGCAGAAAUCAAAUCAGAAGUGAUGAAAAGUGAAUGUUAUGAACGAUGGCCAUUUGGCCUUGUAGUCAGCAGAAAGCAGGCAUUCAAGGUUAUUAAUCACACAACAGUGUUUCCUGGAGGAUAGCUAAUGUCAAGGCAUGCAGCGCACCGUGGCAUGAUCGUCGGGCUUGAGGAGGGUCGCCAGGGAAACAGAUCCACCACGUUUCCUUCAAGUUCACCUAAAGUUACUGAUGAAUGGAAUGAAGAAAAUAAUAGAGACAAAUCUAUUGUUUUUAACCUUGGGUCUGCCUUGUUCUGAGAAACUCAUUUUUCCUUCCUGUUUACUUCCCUGUCAUUUGAGGAUGGUGACUCAGGACUUAUCUGUGCUAUAGGAUUAUUGUGAUAAUGAAUAUGAAGGCGAUUUGAAAAAUGUGUUGAAAGAAAAAAGUCCUUACGGUGGAAGAAGGUAGUUAUAGAUAGAAGGUAAAGCCAUGUGACUGAAAUACCACCACAGGAACAUAUAGGGAGACUAGCAUGAGACUGAAUAAUAGAUCAGAAUCUCACGACAGUUCAUCACAGUCCGGUCUGCCCCUUUGUGAAUUUGGCAGCAUGCACAGCUCCUUAGACCAAAUUCAACCUCUACCUAAAGGUGACAGCAAAGGCCUGCUUCCACCCAACAUGACACCACGAUCUUGGGUUCGACCACCGCAAGCUACCCUGUUCUCCAGAAGAGGAUGCAGGAUCCGUGGGGAAAGUCCACUCUUCUCCCUUGAUAAUCUGGAGCAUAAAUACUGUGAUGUAAAGUUAACUACUAUUGAUCUAUCUUACAUUAGAUGACAAGGGGAUAAUAGAGAAAAGAAAGCAAAGAAAAUAUUCGGUCAACACAUAUACAAACAUAGUCAUAACAAAGUAGGAAGAAAUUCUUGUAACUACUACAGUCCUAGGACCUGCAAUGGGUCACACGGCCGCAGCUGUAUUUGUGACCCUCUUCCACUGUUCAUCCCACAUGGCCUUUGCCCUCAGCAAGCACCUUGGCUGGUGGUGGUCCUUUGCCCGGUAAGUGUCCCAGACCUUCAUUCCUGAAGCAUCCCGGUUAUUUGUAGUGCCCAGGAACCGGAUGGCUGCUGUUCUCCACUGACAUUAAUCCAAGGAUGUGGUGGUACCAAAGGGCAUGAAGCGAUGCCCUGUAUUCCAGACACACUCUUCUUCACCGCCGCUGUGUGGUGCCGUCAGAUUCCGCCCUUGGUGACCAAGGUCGUUCAGCCCAGUCAGUCCCGUAGACCCCUUCUUCGCCUAUUCAGUCAGAGAGAUGAGGAGCUCCAGCAUCCGGCAAGCAGUCUCAUCUGUUGGUUAAAUGGGGUCAUUGUUAUUUUCCUUGAUGGGAACCAUCUUUCUUUGGCAUGAGAGCUUUAGACGGGCAGAGCCUGAGUUCACCAGGAUGGGAGGCAGACACUGCUGGGGGGAUCACUGUUGUCAGGAAUGAGUGAGUCACUCUAUUUCCACGUUUGGUCCCAGAACCUGUGGAUCUGGCCAUGGGAGAGGCAGCACAUACAUCAGAGAGGGCUUCAGAGCCUUUACAGUCCUCCAAAGAACCUCCUGCCAAACUGUUCGCGCCCUAGAGGGUAGAGCCGUCUGGCUGGGGCUGUAAUUAUCUUCAAAAGGACAUUCCACUGUCUUCCCAACCCAGCUGCCUCAGGAGGUGGGCACACAUGGCCAGCGGAUUCCCAGCAAGGGCCCGCUGCCACACUUCAUUCUCUGUGAAGUGAGUUCCUGGACCAGAAGCAGCUGCGUGGGCUCUGGGACGGAGGGCGAGGUGCUCUGGAAGCCGCGGAGAGAACUUCUGGUGGAGGCACUAUGUGCGGGGAAGUUUGGUGGCUCUGGGCGAUCUGUGUCCCCGGGAGUGUCUAUUCCAGGAAGGACAAAAUGCUGCCCCUUCCAGGACGGAAGUGGUUCGACACGAUCAAUUUGUCUUUGGGAGCUGGCUGGUGACCCCGGGGACAGCAGCAUCCCGGGCACUCAGUUCUGGCCUCCACUGCUGGCCGAUUGGGCACUCAGUGAUUACACUUAUGGGCUUCCAUCACAUUUACAAAACACCCUCACAAAAGCACCUAGAUCAGUGCUUGAGUGACUGACUGAGGACGGUUACGAGUCAAGGUAACACAUCAAAAGACCUUCACCGUCCACACCCUGGUUCUUGGAUAUCAGCUCAUGCCCACUAAAGAAAGAUAUGCUUCAUGCUUGGCAUAAAAUGCUGCAGUUUCAAAAAGGCCCUCUGCUAGUUUUUGUGAUGUAUCCUGUAGCAGGUGUUUGCAAUCUGCGACUAUAGAAAGCACACAGGGAAAGAAGCACCUUUCUGGUUGAAACAAACAUUGUGCUCUUGGCUUAGCUUGUAGGUAUAAUGGCUUUAAAACUUCUGCAUGUGCACGCAUGUGUGUGUCUCAUUACUGGGAAUGGGACAAGACUGACCCUGCCAACAGUUUAUGGUGUUCUCUAGGUCUUUUGGACGAUGUUCAAGAACCUUAGGAUGGAAAAAAUGAAGGAUCAUGUGUGGGCCAGGCAGGAUCCAUUAAGCCCUGUAGCUUCAGAGCAAUAAAGUGUGUGGCUGACACAAGAUAAGGAACAUGAGACCCCAGAGACAGAACGGGCACAGGGCCCAUUGCCUGGUCAAUGCUUCCUCCAAGUUAAAAUACCCAGAGACACUUGAUAGGGUGAACCCACAUGAUCUCAUGAUUUCUGGGGUUGUUUUCUGCAUUUUCUCCUUCACUAGAGUGGCCAGGGGAUGGUGCUGUGCUGAGGAAAGGCUGAGGAUUUUGAGACUUGUGGUCCUUUUUUGGAGAUCUGUACCCAAAUCUACAAAUUCUGCAAGCUGAAUUCUCAUCUAACUUCUCCUAGGAAACCUUCCUUAAUAAUUCAUUGUCAUUGUUCUUCUCCUUCUCGAAAUCAUUGGGUCAAGAGAGAGAGUAUUAAUUUCUUACUGCUGGUCUCAACAUCUAGUCUGAAAGCACAAUAUAUAUUUUGAACUGUUCUUAAUAAAUAUUUGUUGAGAGGAUAAUUAUA